AUGGGCGCCGCCGGCUCGUCCGCUCUGGGCCGCCUCGGCCUCCCCGCGCCGUCCCGGCCCGCCUGGCUCGGGGCGGCCGCGCUGGGACUGGCCGCCGUGGCGCUGGGGACGGUCGCCUGGCGCCGCGCGCGCUGCAGGCGGCGCCGGCGGCCGCGGCAGGUGGGCACCGUGGCGCAGCUCUGGAUCUACCCGGUCAAGUCGUGCAAGGGGGUGCCUGUGAGCGCGGCGGAGUGCACGGCCUUGGGGCUGCGCUGCGGCCACCUGCGGGACAGGUUUUGGCUGGUGAUCAACGAGAAGGGGAACAUGGUGACGGCCCGGCAGGAGCCUCGGCUGGUCCUGAUUUCCCUGACUUGCGAGGGUGAUGCCCUGACCCUCAGUGCAGCCUCCACGCAGGACUUGCAGUUGCCUCUCAAGACCCCGGCCACGAAUGCGGUGUACAAGUGCAGAGUGCAUGGCCUGGAGAUCGAGGGCAGGGACUGUGGGGAGGCUGCGGCCCAGUGGAUUACGGGCUUCUUGAAGACGCAGCCCUACCGCCUGGUGCACUUCGAACCUCACCUGCAACCGAGAAAUUCUCACCAAAUAUUGGACGCGUUCCGGCCCACCGACCAGAUUGCGUACUCCGAUGCCAGCCCAUUCUUGAUCCUGUCUGAGGCAUCGUUGGCAGAUCUCAACUCCAGGCUGGAGAAGAAAGUUAAAGUGACUAACUUCAGGCCCAAUAUCGAUUCGUGGGAUGAGCUGCUUAUUGGUGACGUGAUAAUGAAAAGAAUAAUGGCUUGUUCCAGGUGCAUUUUAACGACGGUGGACCCGGACACCGGCGUCAUGAGCAGGAAGGAGCCGCUGGAGACCCUGAAGAGCUAUCGUCUGUGUGACCCUUCUGAGCAGAAGCUGUAUGGAAAAUCACCUCUCUUCGGGCAGUAUUUUGUUCUGGAAAGCACAGGGACCAUCGAAGUGGGAGACCCUGUGUACCUGUUGGGCUAGGAGUAGGAAUCGUGUUCUGGAAUGUCAGAUACCCUUGAAAAAAUGUCCUCAAAAAUUGUCAACACUGGAAGCGAAGCUCUGAACUGACGCCUCAGCAUUUUUUUUUAGGUCUGUGACUUCCAAGCAUUUUGUCUUUUGGACUUCCUGGUGCCUCAGUGCCCCCCCUUCCUUGUACACACAGUGCCUUUGUGUAAAGCAAAGAAACGUAGUCAUGAGAACUUAAGAGGACUUCAGUAAGUCGCUUAAAUGACGAGAAAAUUCUGAAAACCCCUUUUGUAACGGUGACUGUGGGAUCUGUGCUCCUCCUUUUCCAUUUACCUAUUCAGAGGGCUAAGCUCCAUCAUCUCAUUCCCGCUCCGUAGGGAAAGAGAAGAGAAGAGCAAGAGGAAGAGUGGGCAGGUGAGGGGAAUGUUCUGGAAAAAUGCGAUGGACACAGACUAGCUCCCCAGAUAAGGCUGGAGGGUCACAUCGCUUUUCUCCUCAAGCCCUAGACUAGCUUUUGAGAAGGCAGAAAGAGCCUGACCUUUGGGAAACAAUCGAGAUGUUAAUUUUCCAGGGGUCAUCUUGGACCUUGCUCCUCAGACAAUGUCUGCGCAGGUUUGAUGGAUCCUUCGUAGCAUCUGGUAUCUCUGGGCUGGAGAGCAACAGGCAUGUCAGGGUAGGAAGUCAGCUCAGAGCAGCAUUGCUGUCAGACUCUGAUAUGGAACAUGUGAAAAGCAAGACAAAAACUUCCCUGCCUUGCAACAAAAUAUCAAUACAUCUUAUUAGUAAUCCCAAAGCUUUCCCAACAUAGGAGAGUGGACAGUAGCACUAGAGGGGGAAAGACCCCUAGUUUGAUGUUGUCUGAGAGGCUGUUUAAUGUUGCCAGGGAAAUGAUGGGGUCCCUAUUAGCGGAAGAGCCAAAAGAAGGGGCCAGAAGAGGAUGCCACCUAGUGGUGGUGAGUGGUAGCUCAGCCCAUGCUGUGGAAAACGUUGAAAAAAUACCAGUGGAUGGGUUUUAAUUUUCCAUCUCUGAACUUUUUUUUUUUUUUUUAAAGGAAGUGGGGGUACCCUCCAGGUGCUCUCUCCUUCUCAGCUGUAAAUAUUUUAUUUCUUAAAAGCUCUCAGGAGGAUGGCUGUGUUGUCACAAAGCCCUCCGGGAUCCUUGCUUGUCCCAUCAACUCAUGACUGGCACGCCACCUUAGUUCAUGACCAGCUACGCGUCCUCAAAUUCAAGGAGAUGACCAAAUCAUGAAAAAAUGUUCCCAAACUGUAAGUAAAUGGAAGCUACUUUCACUAGUUUUGGAUAUUACUAACUUCUUGGCACAGAAAUCAGACUCUGAAGCUGACUGAUGUGAAUGGGCAAAGCCAAUAAUUCUGCCACCUGACCAGACCCGGGUCUCUUACAAACGGACCUGCUCACAUGCGGCUUCCCCAGGCGAACACCCAUCUUUGACGGGCUGUCAAGGGAACAUGCUUUUUACCAAAAGCUGUGCAUUUUCCACGUCGGUUUUAUAAAAGAGGUUUUGUUGGCCCAUGAAAUUCUGGACCUUUGCCUGGAGGGAUGCUCGUAUGAAAGAAUUCCAUGGACCAAUAACUCUGGGAAAUCCUGCAUGCCUCCCUUUAGGAUUUCUUCAAAGGCCUAGCAACUCACUGGAGUCGUGGGACCUGCAUCAAAGAAUUCUGUCUCCUCCAAACUCCUAACUGACCCCCUCCUGAGAAACCCGUUCUGACCUCCAGCUCUCCCAAGGGAGCACCAGCCAGGACAAGGAAUCACGACGAGCGGGAGACAUGGCCUCAUGAGAAGGCUGAGGAAGUUAGAAGAGCCCCCAGUCACAUGAAGGAGGCCUCUUGGUGGGAUGCUUCCUCUUGUCUUCUCCCUUGUCCCUGGACGGAGACAUAAAAGGUUAAAGGAGGAAUGGAGAGGACACCUUAGACCAGCUCUCCUAAUACGGGCCUUGCAGAGAUGCGUUCCUUUUCUUUGGACUCAUUUUCCAAAUCUGCAUUCAUGAAUGGAGGGGGUGGGUCAGGGUUGAGGGGGUGAACACAGAGUCUAGUCUUGGCCUUACAACAAUACCACGCAAGUUCUCCAAGAUGCUUGAUGCACCAGGGAGGGGCGCUGUCUUCCCAAGUGCUAGCUGUACCUUUCCCUCGCAUCUUGUUACCUAGAGCUGCGUCCCACUGUAUCAAGAAGAACUAGCCCAGCGAUCCUAUUGCCCCUGGCCAGACUUACAUUCUCACUUUAUCCCAUGAUCUUCUAUCUACAAGAACACUCUUUGCUUCUACCACUUUCUUAGAAGUGGGCAAGUGACUUAUGAUAGGGUCUGAAGUUGCCCAGUGUCAAGCAAGGGGAAGAAUCUGGUUGAAGGAUUUAACAAAGGCUCUUGGAAUUGGGAUAAUAGAAGGGCACCGGAGGUACCCUUUGCUUUGAAUGCACUGUCUUUGGAGGGAGAGGCCCCUGCAACGGCUUUGACUAUGAUCCUGUAUUCCCUCAAAACACAGCUGAUAGGGGACUGUGGGGCCAUUUGGUCCCGUCCUCUUCGGCCUAGCUCAGGAAGAGGAGUUGCCCUAAUCCUAUUAUUAGUCUUCCUGGACAGGCUGUAGUAACAAAAGGGGCUGAGAAGUAUCUUCUCAUCUAACUUCUCCCAAGGCUGAUUUUGGUGGGUACAUCAAGCUCAGUCAAGUUUGGCUGUUGACCAACCUAAUCUACCUACUCUUGGUGGUCCUCCCAUCACAGAACAUUCCAGAUGGCUCUUCCUCCUACCUCCCUCCUGAAGCCCACAGCCUCUGAUUCCUUCCCUUCACUUCCUGCUCUAUGCCCUCUACCAACCCUAGUAGUCCAGACUCCAGUCCUGGGGCAGCCCUGUAGGAUGUAAGUCAAGGCUAACUUCUCUCUCUCUCUUUGGAAUUUGCUGGGAGCACUGAAAAUAAAGUAUU